rnacentral:rRNA from 1 species
CCCUUAGAUGUCCUGGGCCGCACGCGUGCCACACUGACGCCUACAGCGAGUACUUCCCAGCCCCGAGAGGUGGCUGGUAAUCAGCAAUAGGCGUCGUGAUGGGGAUAGAUCUUUGGAAUUAUGGAUCUUGAACGAGGAAUGCCUAGUAAGCGCAGGUCAUUAGCCUGCGCUGAUUAAGUCCCUGCCCUUUGUACACACCGCCCGUCGCUCCUACCGAUUUCGAGUGGUCCGGUGAAUCUUUCGGACUGCGCGCGGCCUCGUGCCGUGUCGCGGAAAGUCAGGUAAACCUUAUCACUUAGAGGAAGGAGAAGUCGUAACA